GGAACCGACCACUUCAGAGGCAGAAGAAACUUACUGUCUGCAAAUUCUUGUUCUGCUGCAUUGCCCAAUGAGGCUCUGAAAGAUAUAGUCCUGCAGAUUAUUGGAGAAAACAAGGGUGUUUGUGAACUUUUCCACCUCUUGGGAUCUCUGUGUAGGACAAGGAAGAUGAGCUGAUGGGCAAGGAGGCCAGACUAGCUGAACAGAGACCUUUGGCUUGAACUCAAGAACAAAAGGAAGGUUUAUGGUCUUUGGAAGAGCGGGCAAGCUACUUACGAUGAUUACAGAAAGGACAAGAUCUUCCAUUCUUCCACUCUAGGAGGAUUCCUCCUUGUCACCUCAGUUAAGGCAACUGGAAGACCGUGGUUCAGAGCUUCACUGUCACCAAAUCACAAGGAGCAUGUUGCAAGGCAGUAAAACCUGGUACCUUGUGAGCAGUGAAACCAGACAUCUGAUCUUUUUGAGAAAUGUGCAGUCUAAGCCUACACAGAUAAACUCCCUUGGUUCCUGCUUGAGACCUGGCCAGGCUUCGAGUGGAAUCCAAAAGGAGGAUGACUCCAGAUGUUUCUGCACCUUAAGCUAUAAAGCAGGACUGGUCUGACUGCAAGGGAAACAAUCACUUUAGGGUUGAGGAAGACCACACACAAACCUGGUGGUAGGCCCACUUGGAGACAGGAUCUCAAGACACAAGCAAAUACUGUUCUAUUUUUCAGACUUUUGUGAUUCAUGGAGAAUGUUACUAUUCUUCUGGCUUUAAACAGCAAUACUUCCACUUUUACAAGACCUAACUUGUGUGAUGUUGUGCACCAAAAUAUUUCUAGAAAGUAGUUUUAAAGGAGCAGUGUCCCAGAUGUCAACUUGAAAGCAGCUCUUGAAGCAUUAUGAAAGAACUUUGGAAUCUCCAGAUGAAAAGACCUAGCUCAUUCUACUUCCAGAAACAAGACAUGGCCAUGGUCAAAAGGAUGAAAAUUGCACAGAGGAGAGUGAAAAGUUUGGGGUCCAGAGAGGCUCUCCCCAAGCUCAUGAAAUAUGUCUGGAUGUUAAAGCCAAGACUGAAGAAAAGAGAGCAGGCAAGGAUAAAGAUCUCUAAAAAAGAAAAGCAUAAUGAGAGAGCAGCAGAUGUGUAAAUAUCAUUGUGAUGUGUCUGUUUCACUAUGACUGGUUUUCUAGAAAAUACUCAGGAGAUGAAUUUCAGUUCUGGCACCAAACUCUGCAGACUAUCAAACAGCCUUGCCAAGAGGAAGCUACACCAUUCUGGGAGCUUGAUGUAUUGUGAAGGGCUUCUGGGUGGCUUGGCAGCAACUUUGCUGAAGCGCAGUUGAUUAUGCUGUGUUCAGACAGGAUUUUUGAGUAGUCUUGUUAACCUUCUCUCUAAAAUAAUUGGAAACUGAAUAUUAAAAAAUGAACUUGAGUUACUAACUAUUCAUCUGUUCACAACUUGUAAGUUGUCCUACUCUUCCAUUUUUAAACCUUUCUCUUAAAAUGAGAUGAAGUCUUAUAAGAGUGAGUCUUCUCAAUUUUACAUAGACUAGCAGGAAGGUGCAGGGGAAAGAGGAUUUGUGAGUUUUGCAGAACUGCCACUCUCAGUAUCUGAGCUGCCUCCAGUAUCAAAUUCUGGAAUAACUUUAGUGAAUUUCUUCACAUUUCUGUUGAUGCUUGAGAGAAGAACUAGGG
ensembl:lncRNA